UAUUCCCUCCCCCACCCCUCUCAACCCCUAAAAUUCUAGAACGCCUCAAACCCUCCGCUCAAUAGCUCUUCUUCCUUUCAGGCAUUCUUCUGCUAAACACCCUUAUUGUUAAUCACUGAGAAUUAUUUGGCUACUUGAAGCGUAAGUUUCUUCAAUUUCUCAUUUAUCUGAUUCUUUUUUUAUAAUAAAAAUCAGAUUUUAUUCCUCCGUAUCUUUCUUUGUUCUUUCUUUCUUGUUGACCUAGUCUUUGAUUGUGUUUCUUUCUUUGUUUCGAAUACUCGUGGUUGUUAUUUGAGAACUAGAAGUGAGGGUAAUGGGUUUGAAGUUAGGGCUUGGAGGGCGCCGACGUUCUGUGAAUGUGUUUUUUUUUUCUAUUUAAAAUUUAAUUAUUGUUGUGUGAGAUCAAAAAGUAAAGUAUUUAAGGAUUAAUUGUGAAAUUUUGGCUAAUAGAGUUGAAUUAAAUAAAUCUUUUGGGAACUUGAUUGAAAGGCUAAGGAAACAUAUGGUGUGAGUAUAUUGUGGGAUUUUGUAUGUUGUGGGUUUUGUUAUGUGGUGAUGAAUUGGUUGAACUUUUUAUAUAUUAUGUGCUCUCAUUUAGUUCCUACAUUUCAGAAUUUUAUGGAGUUUUUGAAUUAUAUAACCAACUUGUAGAUUUUUGUAAAUCCAACACAAUAUAUAAGAAAAGUUUUAUAUGAGGAAGAAAUGGCGAUUUGAAUUGUCUUUGUUAAUGUAUUCCUCAAUCACACUUUAGAUGAGGAAUACAAGGUGAUGUGAAUUCAAUAUUGUUUUUGUACUCUGAUAGGCCUAAGCAUCUCAAUAAAAUUUCUGAUGGCAGAAUUUCAAUUUCCUUUGACUGUUACUCUAUUUAUUCAAUAAGCGCACUAUGCUGAUAUAGCAGAUGUCGGGAUCAGACUUCUUUAUCAGUUUUUAGUAGCCUAGAUCUGACUAAUAGACCGAAAGGUAUUUCACAACCUUUUCCAGAAAAGAAAGAUGAAAAUAUGUAGUCAAAACUAAUGGCAACUUUAACUAAUACACAUAAUAGCGAUAAUAAUUUGAUGUGUUAUUUAGGACUUAAUGAUGGUAAUGCGCAUAUGCUUUAGACUUCUACGGAUUACUCUAUUUUACUCUAUAUGCGGUGUUUGACGUGAUAUGACUUCAAGAAAGAAAUAGCGACUUGUAAGCUAAAUUUAUAAGACGUACAAAAAAGUACCCUUAGCCUCUAAUGGCCUUAGAAUCUGCAUACUAUCGAUAAUAAUUUGUUUGUAUUCCGUUUCUAUAGGAUUUGAUAUGGUAUCAUCUAUAGCAUUUGAUUUAGAUUAUAAUGUUACAAAAUGUCUUAUAUUAUCUAUUUUUGAAAAGUCAUAAUCUCUUUAUACAUUAGUAUUUCGGGAGAAUGUGCCUAUUAUAUAUAGUUUCUUAUAAAUUUAUUUUUCUUUCUUGUUCAGAAUAGUUUAUGCUAACUAAAAUAAGCAGAAAGAAUUACAAGCUCUAUGAUACUUUAUGUUGCCCAAUUUAAGUUUGAUACUUCAAUGGAACUUGUAGAGCAUAAUCAGUAUGUUUAUACAUGCAAAUUGCAUAAACCAUCUCUAAUGUAAUCCAUUAUAUGUAAAAGUUGAUAAUAAAAUCUAAUUUAUUCAAACUAAACAUUAAAGUUCCUUAAAACACAUUCAUCUUUUCCAUUUAUUUGAAUUUUGUGUUGUUCGAUCUUUAAAACUACUGUUGUAGAAAAAUAAUAUAGCCAAAAAGAGUUAUGUGCUCUUACUAUAAGGUUGAUAAUUGCGGAAAAGCUGAAAAUUUUCUGCUUUGCUAAAUCUCCAUCCGUCGUCUUUGUUUCUCUUUUUAACUGUGAACUCCGUUAAAAUAUCACACUGGUACAUGUACCUGUACCAUGGUUAGUCAUAAAAAUUAUGGUGGAAUGUGCAUUACUAUAAUAGGAAUAUGUAAGACACAUCAUAUAUUUAUUUCACUCAGCAAUGGUAUAUUAUUUGUUUUGACUAUCAAGUAAUAGUUUAUCUCAUCUUGUGAUAUCUUAGUGUUUACUCUAAAAAUCGAGUAACAAUUAAACUUGUAAUGUCGUUAAGGAUACUUGAUUUCAUAUAAUACCAAUUGAUUAAUUUAGAGAUAAGUGAUGAAAUUGAGAAGAAUAUGAAACAAACCGACGUUUGGAUAGUAAGUUGAUGACUAGAAGAAAGAAAUAUUAUAUUGCUUGAAUUUUUAUGAAUGUGGGAGAGCCUAGAAUUGAUAGGGACCCCUCUUUAUAUAUUAGAGGAAUCCUAAUUGAGGUACAAUUCUAAUUAAGGAAAUAAAUCCCAUGAUUGACACAAAUAAUCACCCCUAAUUUAAUCUGUUCCAUGAUUUACGUCGUGAUUUCCGACUGGUCAUGGAUAUUUCGCCCUGUUGUUAUUGCAUUCCGCUUGAAGCUGAUCACAUCUAGUCUCGAUUGUCAGGGAUCUCGAUCUCGAUGGGUACCUCGAUCUCCAAACUCAGUACCUUGUCUUCGUGCUUAGGCCCGAUCUAUUAUGAGGCUGACCCUCGAUGGAGUUCUCCGAUCAUGAAAUAAUAGGAAAAUCGGGCAAGCUCAAUUUUACCCGUAUACAAAUAGUACCCUCUUUUCUUAGAGUAAAAUGAUAAUAAAUGAUUUGAUCCUCGAUUUAAUGGAGACCUUAAUAAUGAUGUCAUCCCUAUGAUGUAAGUGACUAAGGUUACCGAAAUGUCUCGUCGGUAGAGUUCCCCAAACCAUUAAUGCUUGCCAGUGGACACUCGACCAUUAGCACCACCAAACCGUCGCCGUAAAUCUAUAAAUAUAGGCUCUUUGGUUGAAUCAAAAUUUACUUUCACCUCUACCAAUUUUUCUAUGUUUUUUACUCUCUCUAUCUCUUCUCUUUCACCACUCGUUGAGUCGACUUCGUUAGUACCAAGAAUACCAAGUUUCACCUGUUUGCGCUUCCUUCUAACUGAAUCAAUGGCGAAAACUUCCAAAAUCGUUCCACAAAAAGAAAAAUCUUCUUCAUCGCGGUCGGCCGGUGAUAUUACGCCGGUGGAGACACGCAUCGAGGAGUGCAUUUCGGUGACGUGCGAUCUUACCUCUAAUUUAAAGAUUGAGAAACCCUCGUCUAUCCAUGGCCGAUGUGCGCCGUGUCACGGUAUAUUUUCUCUAUAAUUGAGGGCGACCUGAAGCAGGUAAAAAUGGAUUGCCAUUGGGAAGGCAAAGAGAUGUUGAUCCCGACCCCUGAAGAGAACAUCACCACUCACGUGAAAGGGUUCUUGAGUGUUUACACUUACCCUUUUACAUCGGGUCAUGUUGACCCCGUUAUUCUUAAUUUCUGUAGCCAAUACCAAAUAACCUUGGGCCAGAUUCACCCUUCCUUUUGGAGAAUUGUUAUUUUGCUCCGAUUCUUUAUGAGCCAAGUCAAGGGGAUGCCUUUUACACUCGACCGCCUUAUUAGAAUGUACAACCCCUAUCUCUAUCAGGGAGGGUUGAUAAGGCUUCAGCAGCAGGCCACCAAGGUGUUGUUCUCGAGUAUAGAUGAGGACAAGGGCCGAGGGUGGUUGGGCCGGUUUGUCCGAGUAAGGACUUCCGACAAAAUUCUAGCUGAAAAGAUGUCAUUCCCUAAAGAGUGGAACAUGAAGCGUAAGAAAGAAUAUGCCCUUAACCUUCAUCUAUCAUUUUGUUUCUUUUUUCUUUUCAUACUGACAUCCUUUCCUGUGAUACAGUGGUUGCUUGGGCGCCCGGUGCAAUCUCAGACCUUGAAGGCUGGGUCUAGUCCUGACCUCUUCAUAUUCCGAGCGUUGUUGGUGUGUUUGGGCCAAGAGCCGAUGGGAGGUCAAUAACCAUAGUCUCAGGGAUAUUGCCGAAAUGAGGCCAGCCCCGCUUGGGAAGGAGGUGGCCCCAAAACCACCUAAGGAUAAGAAGAGGAUAAGGGUCUCGCCUUCAGAUACCCCAAAUCCUAAGAAGAGAGAGACUUGUAAGUCGAAGAACGGUUCCGCCGCUCUGUCUACUAACGUACCUCAAAAGCUACGAAGAGGGUGAAGAUACUGACUGUGAGCUAGUAGCUCGAAAGAAGGGAAGCAUCUAGGGUUCAAAAGCAGGCGAGAUAGUGAUGGUCGAGGAGGCUCAUCAUCGGACCGAGGAGACCAUAGAAGAUGGUUCGAGCAAAGCCCCUGAGUCAUCGGGGACCAAAGAUGUCUGCUGCCGUGACGAACAAUCGGCGAGUGUACCGGAAGGGUCUGAUUCUGAGGCCCUUCAAAUAGGAUAGAGGGCUCCAAGUGACUUGCUUGUGGCAAUAAAUAUUGAUGAUUCGCCGCACGACCCCACAUUUUCUAAGGGGCAAUUUCGGGAGGCUCGGUCUAUGGAGACCCCUGAUGUGGGAACGACCCACGAAGGGGAAGAUAUAUUUCGUGGUUUACUUGUGGGGGUCGAUGAUGUUUCCAACCUAUAUGCAACGAUCAUUCUAAUGAGGCUCAACGACUCCUAAACAAGGUUGUGACACUUCAUCGGAAAGCGUUCACCAAAUCCUAAGUCGAGCUGAACCGGUGUGAGGCCGAUCUCAAAAGGUUCACAGAGGAGAGAAAGGCCCUUAAACGCCUCUAUGUGCAGCAAGAAGAGGAGAUCAAGGACCUCCGAGCUGAAUUGGCAACAACCCAUAAGAAGCAGACCGAUUUCAUCGAACAUGUAUUGCAAAUUUUCAGGAGCUUAACAUACCAAUUUGAUAUGGGUGACUAGCACUUUGAUCCUGUAGGUUCAGUAAAAGGUCGAGAAAAUUGAGCAUCUUCCCGAGGAGGCGGAGAUAAAAGAGGUAGAGACUUUGGGGUGGAAGCAGAUCAUAGACCGUCUUGCUUCGAAGAAAUAUACCGCUCGUGCCCAACUAUCUUCGGUUGAGAAUCAACUCCAAAUCUUAAGGGAAGAGAGCUUGGCUCGAGCAAAGAAAAUUGAAGAACUCGAGACGCGACAUUUUGUUGAGCUUGCAAAGGCCACAUCUUUAGAGGAAAAGGCAAAGGCCAAUGUGGAGGCGGUCAUGGCUAUCUACUAAGCUGCCGCUGAAGUCGCUAACGCACGAGGGUACAAAAUCUUUGAUGCCGCUCGAGUUUGAUUAUCCUGCGCUGUCGAGCAUGCUAACUUUCAGUCUCAGAGAGAGGCUCUCGAGCAGAAGAUGAUGAUGAAGCUCCAGGGGAGGAUUAGGCAUUUAGAACUUCUCCUUUUUUUUGGAUUUUUGUGUAAGACCCUUAUCGGUCCUUUGUACAUAUUUUUGUCCAUAUAUAUAAAGAAAUUUCUCUUUUGAAUGCCUUCUCAAAUUUUGUCUUCAAUCAUGUUUCUUGCAUUGUAAUAUUUUACCACAUUUUUAUGCUUUAAACAAUAUGUUCGAGACUUUGGUUUUAAAUGACUUGAUCGAAGCCAUAAUGCUAUUACAUUUAUAGUCGGGUUUGAGUGAAAUCUGAAUUUGGAGCAAAUGGACCCUUAGGUUUGUUUUGAAUGAUAACGAACAUCGAUCUUUAGUCGAGUAGGUUCUUAUUCAAAUUCGAGAGAGCGGGACUCUUAGGUUCGAAUCGAGUGAGAACGUGCUCUCGAACUCAAAAGUGUGUUGGCCUCUAGGCUCUUUGAAUUGGGUCGAUAUGGCCUUAAAGGAUGGCUAUGUUUUCCCUAUUUCAGCUUAAAGACUUAGUAAAAUUUUCUUAUGCCUUAGCAUGUAUUUUUUAAAACUAUUGGUUUUUUUUUCUCGAGGGUUUAGUGUUGAUCGAAACCCCUUUGUUUUUUGUUCCUUAGUACAAGCUUGUAUUUGAAUAAUUCAAUACCUCUUAAGGUUUUUC